UACGUAGGGCGCAAGCGUUGUCCGGAAUUAUUGGGCGUAAAGAGCUCGUAGGCGGUUUGUCGCGUCGGAUGUGAAAGCCCGGGGCUUAACCCCGGGUCUGCAUUCGAUACGGGCAGACUAGAGUGUGGUAGGGGAGACUGGAAUUCCUGGUGUAGCGGUGAAAUGCGCAGAUAUCAGGAGGAACACCCGUAGCGAAGGCGGCACUCUGGGCCGAUACUGACACUGAGGAGCGAAAGCGUGGGGAGCGAACAGG
rnacentral:rRNA from 1 species